CUCAAAGGAUACGGGCUCUUGAA
rnacentral:miRNA from 1 species